CAGCUUGUUGGCGGGGUAAUGGCCCACCAAGGCAUCGACGGGUAGCUGGUCUGAGAGGAUGAUCAGCCACACUGGGACUGAGACACGGCCCAGACUCCUACGGGAGGCAGCAGUGGGGAAUCUUGCGCAAUGGGCGAAAGCCUGACGCAGCAACGCCGCGUGGGGGAUGAAGGCUCUCGGGUUGUAAACCCCUUUCAGCAGGAACGAAAAUGACGGUACCUGCAGAAGAAGGCCCGGCCAACUACGUGCCAGCAGCCGCGGUAAUACGUAGGGGCCAAGCGUUGUCCGGAUUUAUUGGGCGUAAAGAGCUCGUAGGCGGUUUGGAUAGUCGGGUGUGAAAACUCCGAGCUCAACUCGGAGACGCCACCCGAUACUGCCAUGACUAGAGUCCGGUAGGGGAGCAGGGAAUUCCUGGUGUAGCGGUGAAAUGCGCAGAUAUCAGGAGGAACACCGGUGGCGAAGGCGCUGCUCUGGGCCGGUACUGACGCUGAGGAGCGAAAGCGUGGGUAGCAAACAGGAUUAGAUACCCUGGUAGUCCACGCCG
rnacentral:rRNA from 1 species